rnacentral:rRNA from 1 species
ACUGUGCUAAGGUAGCAUAAUCAAUUGGCUAUUAAUUGUAGUCUGGAAUGAAAGAAGUAAUGAAUAGUAGCUAUAAUAAUUAGUGUUUUUUUAAUUUGUUUAUCUGGUGAAAAUACCAGUAAUUUAGAAAAAAGACGAGAAGACCCUUAGAAUUUUUAAAGAAAAGUGUAUAACAUUUUUUAAAUAGAAAAAAUAGAUUACAUCCUAAUUUUUUGUUGGGGCGACAAGAAAACAAAAACUUAAAAGAAACUUUUCUAAUUUUAUUAAAAAAAUUUAUGAUAAUUAUGUGACGAAAUUUUUAUGAAUAACUAAAUUACCUUAGGGAUAACAGCAUAAUGAUAAUUUUAUUUAGUUUGUGACC